AACGUAGGACGCAAGCGUUAUCCGGAGUUACUGGGCGUAAAGCGCGAGCAGGCGGCUCGACCAGUCUGAUGUGAAAGCGCCCGGCUCAACCGGGCGAGGCCAUUGGAAACUAUCGAGCUGGAGGGCAGUAGAGGCAGGCGGAAUUCCGGGUGGAGUGGUGAAAUGCGUAGAGAUCCGGAGGAACACCAGAGGCGAAGGCGGCCUGCUGGGCUGCA
rnacentral:rRNA from 1 species